UGGGGAAUUUUCCGCAAUGGGCGGAAGCCUGACGGAGCAACGCCGCGUGAGGGAUGAAGGCCUCUGGGCUGUAAACCUCUUUUCUCAAGGAAGAGGACCUGACGGUACUUGAGGAAUAAGCCACGGCUAAUUCCGUGCCAGCAGCCGCGGUAAUACGGGAGUGGCAAGCGUUAUCCGGAAUUAUUGGGCGUAAAGCGUCCGCAGGUGGCCAUGCAAGUCUGCCGUUAAAGCGUGGAGCUUAACUCCAUUUGAGCGGUGGAAACUGUAUGGCUAGAGUGUGGUAGGGGCAGAGGGAAUUCCCGGUGUAGCGGUGAAAUGCGUAGAUGUCGGGAAGAACACCAGUGGCGAAGGCGCUCUGCUGGGCCAUAACUGACGCUCAUGGACGAAAGCCAGGGGAGCGAAUGGGAUUAGAUACCCCAGUAGUC
rnacentral:rRNA from 1 species